rnacentral:misc_RNA from 1 species
UUCCAAGUUGAAACAAGACAACACAGCUACCAGAAGACGGUAUGAUCACUAAAGAUGAAACAUUAGCUCAGUACAGCAACAUGCGUAAACCGGUAUUGCUAUUGCUCCAUACAAGUGUUUCCGCAACUGAGAUGCACAGGUGAAUAGUAGCAAACUGAUGCUAGUACAAAGAAUGAGACCAUUUCGCCAAAAGACAUAUCAAAUAUGAACCACUUAAUUUUUGAAAAAAAAACCACCAGCGCAAAUUCAUCCAACAGCAACAGCAACAAUAAGUUAUAC